UACGUAGGGUGCGAGCGUUGUCCGGAAUUAUUGGGCGUAAAGAGCUCGUAGGCGGUUUGUCGCGUCUGCUGUGAAAACCUAAGGCUCAACCUUGGGCCUGCAGUGGGUACGGGCAGACUAGAGUUCGGUAGGGGAGACUGGAAUUCCUGGUGUAGCGGUGAAAUGCGCAGAUAUCAGGAGGAACACCGGUGGCGAAGGCGGGUCUCUGGGCCGAUACUGACGCUGAGGAGCGAAAGCGUGGGGGAGCGAACAGGA
rnacentral:rRNA from 1 species